UUGGUGCUCAUUCACAAGCUCAUACUGCCUCAGAAAGUUCUUGGUUCAUGGUUCUCUUCGUUUCUUGAAAAAUGUGUGUGAGAGAGGGAAUGUAAUGUUGGAGUAACUAUAUUAAACCCAGCCAUCAAGAAGAACCAAGAUAGAGGAAGAUAAAGAUGGAUACAGUAACCUCCAUCCAGGAAUCACCUAUUCUCCAAGGGAAAAGAAGCUCUAAGCAGGAUCACAGUCUGAAUGAAGUCUUUGCAGGUGUUCUACAGUGAUGGCCUUCAGGGUAAAAAGAGUGAAGAAGAGCUAAUGCUUCUGUACAAGAAUGAAUCUCAAAUCUGCAAGGUAUGAGACUCAGCUUUCUUUUAAGUAUCAACUAAAGAAGCCAUAAAACACAAACAUGAAGCAAUUAUUAUCAUGUCGUCUGGUACAUAAACAAGGGGAUGCACUUGAGCUCUACAUUUAAAAACAGGAAAGUAUAACAUGAAUUGCAUGACAAACCAAAAUAAAGUGACAGAUAAUGAUUUAAUUCAA